CGGCGGACGGGUGAGUAAUGCCUAGGAAUCUGCCUGGUAGUGGGGGACAACGUUUCGAAAGGAACGCUAAUACCGCAUACGUCCUACGGGAGAAAGCAGGGACCUUCGGGCCUUGCGCUAUCAGAUGAGCCUAGGUCGGAUUAGCUAGUUGGUGAGGUAAUGGCUCACCAAGGCGACGAUCCGUAACUGGUCUGAGAGGAUGAUCAGUCACACUGGAACUGAGACACGGUCCAGACUCCUACGGGAGGCACAGAU
rnacentral:rRNA from 1 species